CACCUGUUUAUCAAAAACAUGGUUUUUAGAUUAUGAUUUAAGAUUGGUCCUGCUCAAUGAAAAUUUUUAAAUAGCUGCAGUAAAUUGACUGUACAAAGGUAGCAUAAUCAGUUGCUUUUUAAAUGGAAGCUAGGAUGAAGGGAUUGAUGAGAUUUAAACUGUUUCAGGAUAAAUUAAUGAAUUUAUAUAUUAAGUUAAAAUUCUUAAAUAAUUUUAAGGGACGAGAAGACCCUAUAGAAUUUUAUAUAAAAUUUUGAAUAAUUUUUAAAUGUUAUAUGAAAAAUUUAUAUUUAGUUGGGAGGAUUAUUAAAUUUUUAGAACUUUAAUUAAAAUUUAAAUAUUAAUGAAUAAGUUUAGGAUUGGAUUGUAAAAUUAAAAAGAAUUAAUUACCUUAGGGAUAACAGCGUAAUAUUUUUGGAGAGUUCAUAUUAAUAAAAAUGUUUGCGACCUCGAUGUUGAAUUAAGAUAAAAAUUAAAUGUAGAAGUUUAAUAUUUAAGUCUGU
rnacentral:rRNA from 1 species